UUUUGAGUGUUAAUUAUUUGUGCUUGAGUAGUACUAGAUAUGUACUUGAAACUUAGAGAAUUUGGCGGUAUCUCAUUCCAUCCAGAGGAAUCUGUCUCGUUAUCGAUAGUCCGCGUUGGACCUUACUUGGGUUUAAUAUUGGUUUGUAUACCGCCGUUUAUUGAUUAUCUUUUUAGAGUUGUUGAAUUUUCUUGUUUCUUAUAUUUUGAUUUAUUUCAGGUCAAGGUGCAGCUUUUCCUAAGUGGUAUGAUGGAUUACAUUAUUGUUUGUAUUUUGGAUUGUGUAUUUUAAUAUAUGCAUGAAAUUGGAUUUGGUUGUAAUGUUUUGUAGAUUGUUUUCGUGAUAAUUGGUUCUGAGAUAUGCACACAUCGCCCGUCGCUCUCGUUUAUUUGUUA
rnacentral:rRNA from 1 species